AUUGGGUUUCAUUACUUGGCUCUGAUCAUUUGGUUUAGGGAAAGUAAGGCAAAUAACAAUUAAUUCUAAAACAUCCCCAACUAGACUAAAACAACGACAAAAGAAAAUAUAACUAGGACUAGAGAUGAUAAUAUUUCUAAAACGACUAUGUGGCUGAAAACAUCUAAAAUAUAAUAAUUAGGACCAAACAAAUUUUUUUUAAAUUAAAAAAAUUUAAUAUUAAAAAAAUUAAUUAGGUCAAAGUCUGCCCUGGUGGUCGAGACGGUGGUUGCUAAGGGUUGGCUCGUGGGACCGAGCUUGUUUUUGUCUGUACUGAGGAUACAGACCAGUGUGCAGAUCUGAGCGCAGUCCAAAGGGAGUGGACAAGAAAUAAAAGACGGCUUCUGUAAGACGGAGCGCGUUUGCAGGGGGAAGUGGUUUUGAGAUACGAGGGACCCGGGUCUUGGAGGGGCCUGACGGUGAGGGACCACUUCCGAGAACCCUGUCGCUGAUCUGAGCGGUUCCCUUUCUACGGAGACGUCCGUGGAAGAGAAAUUUCGAAAAAAGGUUCCGGCCGGAACACAUAAAAAUCUAAGGCAGGAAACCGCCGGGACUCUGAAAGAUGGGUUCGGGGCGAUCUAAGUCUCCACCACCAGACUGCAGCAUUACAAAAGUAAAAAACUGAGCGCGAUGAGGGUAAAUCCGGAUCUGGACUCCUUUCCCACCAUCAGCAGAAGAACCGAAGGAGAAGAAGCGCCGACCAACAACCAGAACAGGGUGGAAGCUCUGACACCACAGCAGCUGGAGGACACAGACCACAGCAUGGACGCCUCAGCGACUCACACAACGUCUGCAGCCAUCACGUUCUGGGCUCAUCAGAUGAACCAGCUACUACAAGCGUGUGUGUCUGACACAGACACCUGCUUAUGACAAUCAGCAAAGGAAAACAAGCACAGAGCAACAGCAGAGAAGACGUGCUCUGACACAGACACUGGUUGAAACAACAGGAGAGGCUUCAGACGUGAUCGGCCCAAAAGAGCUGCAUCUGAGGAUCCAGGAAAGGUCUGUCAUCGAGGAACAACUGUCCCAUUGAAAGGCUUCACCCGCUGGCGCUCACAUCAGACUGAUGGUUGGGGAAGGAGGAAGGUGACGGUUCCUUUUCACGUGACGUACAAGACGGUACCGCAAACAUACACACACACAUUCAUACACGCAAUGAAGAAACACGCUUACAGCUGAUACACGCUCAAAUUCAUGUUCAUGCUUAUCUGCUUGCAAUGAAGAAUCGCUUUUUGCUCAAAAAAUCAAACAGAGUGAUUUGAAAAUGAUGACAAACAGCUAAAUGACAACUGCUGCAUGACUUUACAGUCUGAUGGGUUCAAACUAUUUUAACUUGCAACAAAUUCAGUAAUAAAAUCCUUCAUGUUUCUAAAAAUACUUGUGCACAAUAUAGGUUUGUCUGGCCAGACUGUACAAAAACAAAACAGACUGUAGAAAAAACAAAACCAGACCAUAGGAAGACUGAGACUGACUGAAACAGACUAUUAAUGACUAUUAAAGGGAAGACGACUAUUAGAGAGAAGUAAUAAUAAUGACUGUACGUACCAGAUUAUUAAAGAAAAACUUAUUCUUUCACUGUCAUGUGCAACAUCUGACAGCAAGACACCUUAACAUUCAUUUUUGCUUUCAAACUUAUGCCCAGUUAAAUUUUUA